AUACGGGGGGUGCAAGCGUUAAUCGGAAUUACUGGGCGUAAAGCGCGCGUAGGCGGUUUGCUCAGUCGGAUGUGAAAGCCCAGGGCUCAACCUUGGAACUGCAUACGAUACUGGCAAACUAGAGUGUGAGAGAGGAUAGUGGAAUUUCCGGUGUAGCGGUGAAAUGCGUAGAUAUCGGAAGGAACAUCAGUGGCGAAGGCGACUGUCUGGCUCAACACUGACGCUGAGGUGCGAAAGCGUGGGUAGCAAACAGGAUUAGAAACCCCAGUAGUCC
rnacentral:rRNA from 1 species